AAGUCGUAACAAGGUUUCCGUAGGUGAACCUGCGGAAGGAUCAUUAACGUAUAUACAAAGUCCUAUGAAGCCGUCAAACGCUAAGUAGGCAAACCCCCUCAACCAUGUGAAAUGUCUUGUCCUUUGGACUUGGAGUCAAAUCCAAGUCCAACAACAAACUUGAACCUAUUCUUUUAUUAACCAUGAUACUUUUAAACAAGAAAAUCUAUACAACUUUUAACAAUGGAUCUCUUGGCUCCCA
rnacentral:misc_RNA from 1 species